rnacentral:tRNA from 1 species
AGGGGAGUCGCCAAGUUGGUAAGGCAUCGGAUUUUGAUUCCGACAUUCGUAGGUUCGAGUCCUGCCUCCCCUGCCA